UUCACAAAAAAUAUGAAGGCUGUAUGCGCUGGCGCCUCCGGGCACAGUGGCGGAGGCUGAACUAUUUUUCCACCCAUGUCUUUUGCGUACUUGUUGUUUCCUGGGCGGGUUCGCCCGCCACCAGGACCACACCAUAAACCUUUUUUUAUGUAGUUGCAAUCAGCGUCAGUAUAACAAAUGUUAAAUCAUUUACAACUUUCAACAACGGAUCUCUUGGUUCUGGCAUCGAUGAAGAACGCAGCGAAAUGCGAUACGUAGUGUGAAUUGCAGAAUUCAGUGAAUCAUCGAAUCUUUGAACGCACAUUGCGCCCUUUGGUAUUCCAAAGGGCAUGCCUGUUCGAGCGUCAUUUGUACCCUCAAGCUUUGCUUGGUGUUGGGCGUUUUUUUUGUCUUGCCUUGCCGCGAGACUCGCCUUAAAACGAUUGGCAGCCGGCCUACUGGUUUCGGAGCGCAGCACAUUUUUUGCGCUUACAACCAGCUAAAGAGGUCAGCAAUCCAUCAAGUCCAUUUCUCACUUUUGACCUCGGAUCAGGUAGGGAUACCCGCUGAACUUAAGCAUACU
rnacentral:rRNA from 1 species